rfam:Pteropus alecto contig95442, whole genome shotgun sequence.
GGCUCCAUAGUGUAGUGGUUAGCUCAUCUGCUUUACACGCAGAAGGUCCUGGGUUCAUGCCCCAGGUGGAGCCA